UCUCCCGUGAGGGAGCAGUCUCGCCUGACAUAAGUAACAGACAACGGGGGUUGCGUUCGUUACCCCACUGAAGGGAACAGCUCAAGCCACGAACUGACGACAACCAUGCAUCACCUGCCAAGCACCCUCGAAGGCUCCCUCCCUUUCAGGAAGGAUGCAGCUUGGUUUCUAGCCCUGGUAAGGUUCUUCGCUUAGCAUCGAAUUAAGCCACAUGAUCCACCACUUGUGCGAGUCCCCGUCUAUUCCUUUGAGUUUUAAGCUUGCGCUCGUACUACCCAGGCGGCUCGCUUACCGCGUUAGCUUAGUCCCACAGAGGGUCGAUACUCCGUAGAACGAGCGAGCAGCGUUUAGGGCCAGGACUAC
rnacentral:misc_RNA from 1 species